GAGUCAAAUGCUUGCUCUCAUAAGGACAAGGCGUGAUGAGGAGCGAAAUUAAAGUAGCGAAGGCUGCGACGUCACACUGCCGAGAAAAGCUUCUAGCCAGAGACGGUGCACCCGUACCGCAAACCGACACAGGUAGUCGAGGAGAGUAUCCUCAGGUGAGCGAGAGAACUCUCGUUAAGGAACUCGGCAAAAUGGCCCCGUAACUUCGGGAGAAGGGGCGCUGGUCGCAAGAUCAGCCGCAGUGAAAAGGCCCAAGCAACUGUUUAUCAAAAACACAGGCAUCUGCAAAAUCGUAAGAUGAAGUAUAGGUGCUGACACCUGCCCGGUGCUGGAAGGUUAAGAGGAGAGCUUAGCGCAAGCGAAGGUUUGAAUUGAAGCCCCAGUAAACGGCGGCCGUAACUAUAACGGUCCUAAGGUAGCGAAAUUCCUUGUCGGGUAAGUUCCGACCUGCACGAAAGGUGUAAUGAUUUGGGCACUGUCUCAACGAGAGACUCGGUGAAAUUAUAAUACCCGUGAAGAUGCGGGUUACCCGCGACAGGACGGAAAGACCCCAUGGAGCUUUAC
rnacentral:rRNA from 1 species